AUUGAACGCUGGCGGCAUGCCUUACACAUGCAAGUCGAACGGUAACAGGUCUUCGGAUGCUGACGAGUGGCGAACGGGUGAGUAAUACAUCGGAACGUGCCCGAGAGUGGGGGAUAACGAGGCGAAAGCUUUGCUAAUACCGCAUACGAUCUCAGGAUGAAAGCAGGGGACCGCAAGGCCUUGCGCUCACGGAGCGGCCGAUGGAAGAUUAGGUAGUUGGUGGGAUAAAAGCUUACCAAACCGACGAUCUGUAGCUGGUCUGAGAGGACGACCAGCCACACUGGGACUGAGACACGGCCCAGACUCCUACGGGAGGCAGCAGUGGGGAAUUUUGGACAAUGGGCGCAAGCCUGAUCCAGCCAUGCCGCGUGCAGGAUGAAGGCCUUCGGGUUGUAAACUGCUUUUGUACGGAACGAAAAGACUCUGGUUAAUACCUGGGGUCCAUGACGGUACCGUAAGAAUAAGCACUGGCUAACUACGUGCCAGCAGCCGCGGUAAGAC
rnacentral:rRNA from 1 species